AAGAACUAAAGCAACAGAAAUUGACGUAAAAAGCCAGAAGAAAGCAACUAUGACAAGUGUGUUCUCCCCUGGGUUUCCAGUCUCCUGCUUUGAGAAUUCAGCUCUCACCUUCUGAGACAAAGAAACCUGCAGGCCUGUUUCAAGAUUACAGUGCUGGGUUGUUACACUGGAGCUGACAGUUGACUCAAACAAGCUGGUGUGUGUAUACUGUAUUCCCUUGGGAGCAGCGAACCUGGUAAUUACUGUGAGGGCCCAGUGACUGGGGCUGGACGCUUCAGAGGAACACUCUUCAAGAGGGCUCAGGGUGCACCUGUUGCUAACCUGCAAAGCAAAGUGGAACAGACCCUUCCUGAAAUCCAGUUGAGAACCACAGUUCUAUAGGACUGGCUGCUUCAGAGACAAAAGGAGAAAAAUGCUUUUGGGAAGGGCCCCAUUAUCGGUAGCUGUGAGAGCUGCUUUUGACUGAACAAAUGAAAGAUCUUGUGAAAUUCUUAUGCUACAUGUGAAUUCUGAAGCCAAGGCAAGAUGUCCAGAAUGUUUCCAAGUGUGACAAAUUGCACAAAAACAGUUUUGAGUUUUGCCCCCAAAAGCAAACAGAUGCCAGACCGUUCACCCAAAGAACUCUGGGAUUUGGUGCUUCACUUUUCCUUUGUCAUGCUGCCACUCUCUAUAGGGAGCUCCUCUGAAUAAGUGAUGGUGGGGUUUGUUUGUUUUCUAAGUUACCCGUUUAUUCAUUUCUUCCUUGACAUUUCUCCUAAAGGUCUUCAUCUGGCUUUUCCAUGGUAACAAACACAGUUUUGCUCUUUUCCCCACUCCCUUUUCCUGUUUCUGCAUCUUCCUCAGACUGAUUCAAUUCAAAGGAGUGCUUUUGUGAACCGAAUUCCUCAUGCUAGUUGUAUCUUUUUGUCUCAGGUCUGCUUCUGAGUCACUGUUACCUCAGCCAGUCAUUGCCAAUAUUGCUAUUCCACCCCAAAGGGCCUUUGGAUCACAGCAGGAGAGAAAAUUGAUUCACUGUUUGUUGUCACUGAACACUAGCUUCUUAGUACCUAUGGAGGAGAGAGAGGAAACAGCUCAUAAAUACUGUUCAAUAAGCACUUUAUUAGAAAGAUGAGAUCAUUAUAAUCUGUAUGAUGCUAAAUAGAUGGCUGCGCAAAACCAGUGAUCCCAACAGCCUGCAGGUUUCAAUGGAAGUUUCAGGAAAUGGGCAGCUGAGAAUCCAAACAGAAAACCAAUGGGAAGGAAUUUUUCCCCCUGGCAUUGUAUUUGUUGUACACAAAACACAGGUGCACAUGGGAUCUGAUCCAAGAUGCAUUGUCUUCAAUGGGCUUUGGGGCACGCUCAUAGCUGGUAAUAGUUGUUCUGCUGAGGGAGAAAGUAACCACCUAGAAAUCCCUUCAGUUUAAGGCAGGAGGAUGCUGGAAUGGGGAAGCAGAGAACUAGGAGGACGAGGCCUCCCUUAAUCAUGUGGCUCAUAGGGGAUGGAUCAUCCCUUCUGCUUCUGCUCCAGUUUUUAAAAACCCUACACACAUCCUCACUCCUGCAGUAGGAGUGCUCCCAGGGGCUUACCCACUGUCUGUGGAUAAGAAAAAGAGCACUCUCCUAGACUUAUUGAUCAAUCAUAAGAAUCCAUCCUGACUGGCUAAUGCCUGUUUCCUCUUGCGCAAUCCAGCAGUAUUUGAUGAUUAAAACUUAAUGACUAUUUCCCCUUGUUUUUUCCUACCCCCCCCACCCCCCACUGUUCCUCAGACGUUCUUGUUAAACCCUGGAUUUGUGCUGGAAAUGGCCCACCUUGAUUAUCAUACACAUUGUAAGGAGA